rnacentral:lncRNA from 1 species
CCCCCCAAAAAAAAAAACCGAAAAAGAAAUCUCGCUCUCUUCCGAAACUAAACUAGUUUCCUGCCAGCCCUUCCUCGCUGGUCACAGAAUACGUCCCUUGUUCCUCUCCGUUCAAAUGCCCGCGGUAAUUACCUGCAUGGAUCGUGUUUCUCCUGUGUCCUAAAACAUUUUAUUUCUUUUUAGCUUGUCGUCCUCGCUUGGCAUUAACUUUCGACAACAGCCAGCAGAGUGUGCUGUGAACGCUGAGAAAAGAACAUCCUGCUUCUGGGAAAUUUUUAUAUAUAUCUCCAUAUAUAUAUAUAUAUUUUAUAUAUAUAUAUACAUAUGUACAGAAAUGCAGAUGAAGACAUUUUAAGUGGUUCUAAUACUUGCAUGAGUGCGAGAUUGCUUUCCAGUGUUUGUAUAAAGUUGGAAAAGUGCCACAGUGGAGAUGUCCAAAUACGUUUCACAGUCAGAGAGAAGGAUCUAGAACACAAGGGGCAGUCUGACAUGGCAAUCAAAGCAGAAUAUUCUCCCCAGCUCUGCUUCUGACCAGAAUUAAUCAGAUACAAUGAGCCUAAUUUUCAUGGCCAAAAGAAGUUUGUUUUUUUCCCAGGGUUAGCUGCAAACAUAUGAUAAGUUCAUCUCACAGUGCUGUCCAUACCCACCUCCAGGCCCCAGUCCUGCUCUUCAGGACAGAUGUCACCAGGAGCCAUGACCACUUCAGCUCACUGAAGCAUGAGAGAAGGAUGAUGUAGAAUUGAUCUCAGAGACUGUGCAUUUUAGUUUCACACCAAUCUACCUGAGAGAAAUAUGGAGACAACAUAUAGCUUAAGCCCCCUAGGAAUGCAGGACCAGUGGGAAGUGCUUCUGAGGGCCUGUUCUAUCCACAGAAUUUGAAUUUUGAAUGUAAUCUGAAUGUCUCCUCUCAACGUGAUCAGAAAAUAGUUUCUUGCUAGCUGUAUUAUUUCAGUUAGUAGAUUUUGUUGCCUUAGUUUUGACUGCUUUUUUCCCCGCUCAAUGUGAACACUUGCCUUUGCCUUGCUAGAAGGAGGAGCAGUGACCAUAGCAAUUUAAUACGUGAUGUUAAAUGAUUUCUCUCUUGGAACAGGGAAGAAUAGAUUACAAAUGUUUUAGUACCUGUGAGUAAGCUGAAACUGUUUAUGAGUGAAAGAAAAUAAAAAGAAUUAAUGAUGCCA